CUGUUGACGCUGCGGCCUGUAGGGGGCACAUCUCUCGCUGAGCCAAAACAAUCUUGUUGCUUGUCCUCAACUUUAGCUACAUGCUAACGAGCAGUUAAGCCACUUUUCUGGCAAAACCUCAACCAGACGAGAAGUCGCCUUACGUUUCGGAUUAGUCAUGGAGUCUUGCGAAAAGUUGCGGACUUGUUGGUGUGUUUUCGUGCGAUAGUUGAAGCUCGGCUUAGCAUCGAGCCGCCAAACAAACAAAAGUCUCCUGAACCUCGUUGACCGACACAAACGUUGAAGAGUUCUCCCUGGUAAUGGCCUGGUCAUCAUUUAAGGCGUUUGACCGAGUUCUGGAACGAUCAUUUGUAUUUGACUGUUUGCCUGGCAGCAUCGCAGCAAAAUGUCCAUUUUAGGCUUAAAAAAGAAACAACCAAAGACCUUCAAGGUCAAAGUCACCACCAUGGAUGCUGAGAUGGAGUUUAGCUGUGAGGUCAAGUGGAAAGGCAAAGACUUGUUUGACCUGGUGUGUCGCACUGUGGGCUUGAGGGAGACCUGGUUCUUUGGCCUGCGCUACACGGUCAAGGACACGUACGCUUGGCUUAAACCCGACAAACGAGUCCUGGACCAGGAGGUUCCUAAAGACUCGCCAAUCACAUUUCACUUCUUGGCCAAAUUCUUCCCAGAGAAAGUAGAAGAUGAACUUGUUCAAGAGAUCACACAGCACCUCUUCUUCUUACAGGUGAAAAAACAGAUCUUGGAUGAGGAGAUUUUCUGCUCUCCAGAAGCUUCUGUUCUUCUGGCCUCGUACGCUGUCCAAGCCAAAUACGGCGACUAUGACCCCAACUUCCACAAGCCGGGCUUCCUGGCGCAGGAUGAACUUCUGCCUAAAACGGUGCUGAUGCAGUACCAGAUGACAGCUGACAUGUGGGAGGAGAAGAUCACAGCCUGGUACGCCGAGCACAGGGGCAUCGCCAGGGAUGAAGCAGAGAUGGAGUAUCUGAAGAUAGCUCAGGACCUGGAGAUGUACGGCGUCAGCUACUUCGACAUCACCCAAAACAAGCGAGACACAGACUUGCUGCUGGGCGUGGACGCGCAGGGUCUUCACAUCUACAGCCCCAACAGCAAGCUCACCCCCAACAAGUCUUUCCCCUGGAGCGGCAUUCGCAACAUCUCGUACAGCGAGAAAGAGUUCACCAUCAAGCCUCUGGACAAGAAGAAAGACGUCUUCAAGUUCUACUCGUCUCAGCUGCGCGUCAACAAGCUGGUGAGUCGAGCGGCGUUAGCCGUUAGCGCGCUCGUUGACGCCGCGGUGGGUCUUCAGAUCUUGCAGCUGUGCAUCGGCAACCACGAUCUGUUCAUGCGGCGGAGGAAGGUGGACUCCAUCGAGGUGCAGCAGAUGAAGGCCCAGGCCAAAGAGGAGAAGGCCCGUAAGAAGAUGGAGCGGCAGAUCCUGGCGCGCGAGAAGCAGAUGCGGGAGGAGGCAGAGCGAGCCAAAGAGGAGAUGGAGCGAAGACUUUUCCAGCUGCAGGAUGAGGCGCGCCUCGCCAACGAGGCGCUGCUACGCUCGGAGGAGACGGCAGACCUCCUGGCGGAGAAGGCUCAGAUCGCGGAGGAAGAGGCCAAGCUGCUGGCUCACAAGGCGGCCGAGGCCGAGCAGGAACGCCAGAGGUUAGAGGUCAACGCCAUGAAGACCAAAGAGGAGAAGAGGCUCAUGGAGCAGAAGAUGAGAGAGGCUGAGCAGCUCGCCGUCAAGCUGGUGGAGCAGUCCGAAAGAAGACUGAAGGAAGCGGACCACCUGAAGCAGGACCUGACCGAGGCCAAGGAUGCCGAGAGGAGGGCCAAGCAGAAACUCCUGGAGAUCACCAAGACCACCUAUCCGCUGAUAGCAGCUUAUUCGGCUCCUCCUCCCGUUCCGGCGUCCGCCUCCGCGCCCGCCGCUCCUCCGGGAGCCGGCGCGGCCUAUGAAACAACGUCAUCGCGUCUCGACUUUAAAGACUCGGACAUGAAGAGGCUGUCCAUGGAGAUCGAGCGCGAGAGGCUGGAGUACAUGGAGAAGAGCAAACAUCUUCAGGACCAACUGAAGGAGCUCAAGUCUGAGAUCGAGUCUCUGAAGCUGGAGGAGCAGCAGCAGCAGCCUCAUCCUCAUCCUCAUCCUCAUCUUUCUCACCUUCCUCAUCAGCAGGCGGCCGGCAUGUACGCGCUCCACGACGCCAGAACUUACACCCCAGAACCGCUUUACAUCCCUCACAGCAACUGUGAAAGGCCCCCGCGUCAGAGAGCAACGACGACGGCGGCAACGGAGGUACGGCCAUCCCGUAUUUGGAAGUGGUGACGCACGCGUCCUCCAAGGAAGUCGGGAGGCUUUCCCCGUUGAGUGGACCGCAACUCUGCCAGAAACUCGGCGUUGGUGUCGCAGAUGGCCUUCUUUGAGGAGGUCUGAGGAGGAAAACGAGGAGGAGGCGGAGGAAGCCGGUCCGUGCGCCUCUCCUGACUGACGGUGCCUUUGGAACACUAAAAGACUUUUUGGCUUUUGGUCUUCUUUGUUCACAGGUGCAUUUUUUGGUACAUUUGAUUUGCUUUCACAGAACACAGUUGACUCAUUUCCACUCUUCCACUUCACCCUCCACUUUUAUUCUACACUCCCAUCGACUUUUCGAUUUACUCGGAUCAGUCUGCUUGUUUCCUUAAUGUUGUUGUUCUCUGGGGAUUUUUGGCUUUGCUGUCAUAUUUGGUUUGAUUGACAGUUGACAUUUUGUUCUUGUUUACGCGACACCACACGUCAACACUCUUGUUUUAUUUAGUAUUAUUUUCUAUUGUUCAGUCUUGAUAUUUAUUUCUAUGUUGCGGUUCAUCACCACGAGGGCCUUUUGUUACAAGUGCUUUUAUUUGACACCACAAAAAGUCAACGUUUGCUUUCAGUGAUUUUCUACUGUACACAUCAUUUCAAUAGAGCUUUGUUACAAUGCCGCUACAAAUGAAAAUCACUUUUCCUUUUUACAUAGUGGUUUUUAUGAGCUUUAGUUGAAGAGAGAAAAAAGUCUAAAAGCAUCGUCGAAGCCCUCAAUUGAGUUGAAUUGCUUUCAAAGCGAAUUCUUGUCACGUUGUUGUUCUCGCUAAGUAUCUUGAGACUCUCACACCCCGGAUGAACACGGUUAAAUUGAAGCGUUGCAGACACAUCUCACAGUGCUUAACAAGCACCGUGAAUACUGUUACGUCACGUUAUAGUUGCGGGCACACGUAUAAUAAUGGCCAGUGUACUUAUGUACAUCGUAUCUGCUAGUGGCUGGCUAUAUAUAAUAUAUAAUAUAUUAUUAGUGGUGGGCAAGUGAAGCCUCAUGAAGCACUGAGGCUUUCGUAACAAUUGCGCCGAAAAAGAGUCAAGGUUUCAGUGAGGGUGACAUCUGGUGGACAACCCGAGCCGUAGCAAGCUCGAAAGAGCACGACUGAAGCGCUGGCGCCAUAAAAGCCAUAAAAGUUCAGAAAAGUC